rnacentral:rRNA from 1 species
UACGUAGGGUGCAAGCGUUAAUCGGAAUUACUGGGCGUAAAGCGUGCGCAGGCGGUUUUGUAAGUCAGAUGUGAAAUCCCCGGGCUUAACCUGGGAACUGCGUUUGAAACUACAAGGCUAGAGUGUGGCAGAGGGGGGUGGAAUUCCACGUGUAGCAGUGAAAUGCGUAGAUAUGCGGAGGAACACCGAUGGCGAAGGCAAUCCCCUGGGCCUGUACUGACGCUCAUGCACGAAAGCGUGGGGAGCAAACAGG